CCAAAAACUUUACAAAAGGAUACCAUUCAGUUGUCACACAUGUCCUUUACCACUUCUGUGACACGAGUUUGAUAACUGCUUGUGCAAUUUUCUGCAGUCUAAAGUUUCAUGUUGUCUGCACAUGUACUUUCUUUGGAGACACAAUUUGUUUUGCCAAACUAUGAUCAAGAUAGUGACUCUGAUUGAUUCACAUAUUGUAUUGACAAAUGACUGUUGACAUUGCUUUUCAG